UACGGAGGGUGCAAGCGUUAAUCGGAAUUACUGGGCGUAAAGCGCGCGUAGGUUGUUAGUUAAGCGAGAUGUGAAAGACCCCGGGCUUAACCGUGGGAAUUGCGUUUUCGAACUGGCUGACUAGAGUACGGUAGAGGGUUGGUGGAAUUUUCAGGUGUAGCGGUGAAAUGCGUAGAGAUCUGUAAGGAACAUCAGUGGCGAAGGCGACCACCUGGACUGAUACUGACACUGAGGUGCGAAAAGCGUGGGGAGCAAACAGG
rnacentral:rRNA from 1 species